rnacentral:misc_RNA from 1 species
AAGUCGUAACAAGGUUUUCGUAGGUGAACCUGCGGAAGGAUCAUUAGUGAAACACCGGAUUCCUUUGCAAAGAGAAGGUCCGACCCACUAUCACACACACUUGUGCACUUGUCAUUUUUACAAAUCCAUUUUGUACACACUUUUGCAUUUUGAAGGUUGAUUUUAUAAACAUAAACGAAAGAAAAA